UAUAAUGCAGAAGGACCAAACUUUUGCAAACUGCCACACAGGACAGAUCUGCAGAGACACAGCAGUUCCAGGAUGCUGGUCAUGAGUCAGAAAAUGUACUUUAGAAAGGAUAUGAACAAGCUCAAGAUUUCAAGCUCUUGUUCAAGAACAGCAAAACCUCACACGCUUGACUGUUUUUAAGAGGAGGAAGAGAUGAACUGGUUUGGCCCUUCCAAGAAACUUCGAUUCUGCCAUCACAAAUUUGGGCUCUUCUCAUUUUGCGCAUGGGAUACCUUGCAAUACCCUCCAACUGCUCUGAAUGAUUUUCUAGAAGCCCAUGUUUGAAUGAGACAAACAUCCUCUCUGCUUCUUAGGACAGAUGCCUCUUUCUAGGGCUCCAGAAUGACUUCUCUUCCACUCCCAUUUCGAAGGGUUGAGAAACUUGAAACUUUUCUUUGCAAAAAAAAAA